UGGCCAUUAGGUUGCUUGAAAGAAUUGUAUAGACAAAUAUUUCUGGCUCUUUUAGAGUAUAAUCGAUCCGUUGUUAUUUGUUGCAGGUAAAUACUAAAGCUUUACAAUGAAGGUUAUCUUAAUGCUCGCUAUGAUGUGUCUUGUGAUCGUUGCUGUGGAUGCUACCCCCCCCAGGUAACUUGUUUAUUUUUGCGGAUUACUAUUUCUUUACUUUUACAUUUCUAACUUUUUUUAUCUUUGAUGUUUUUUACAGCUGUUUCAUUCACUUGCACAAGCCCAAGCUUCUCCUGCAGUAAAGGUUACGGCAAAGGAACCAAAUACGUUUGCGCAUCACCCUUCAGAUACUGCCCCAAUGGCCACGUCACUGGAUAAGUGAUGGAAUCAAAUUGCUCUGUGCACGAAUAAUGCAAAUAAAAGCAGCACAAAAU